rnacentral:rRNA from 1 species
CUCCUGUGGACCGAUUAGUGACGAAAAUCCUGGCCAUAGUAGCAGCGAUAGUCGGGUGAGAACCCCGACGGCCUAAUGGAUAAGGGUUCCUCAGCACUGCUGAUCAGCUGAGGGUUAGCCGGUCCUAAGUCAUACCGCAACUCGACUAUGACGAAAUGGGAAACGGGUUAAUAUUCCCGUGCCACUAUGCAGUGAAAGUUGACGCCCUGGGGUCGAUCACGCCGGGCAUUCGCCCGGUCGAACCGUCCAACUCCGUGGAAGCCGUAAUGGCAGGAAGCGGACGAACGGCGGUAUAGGGAAACGUGAUUCAACCUGGGGCCCAUGAAAAGACGAGCAUAGUGUCCGUACCGAGAACCGACACAGGUGUCCAUGGCGGCGAAAGCCAAGGCCUGUCGGGAGCAACCAACGUUAGGGAAUUCGGCAAGUUAGUCCCGUACCUUCGGAAGAAGGGAUGCCUGCUCCGGAACGGAGCAGGUCGCAGUGACUCGGAAGCUCGGACUGUCUAGUAACAACAUAGGUGACCGCAAAUCCGCAAGGACUCGUACGGUCACUGAAUCCUGCCCAGUGCAGGUAUCUGAACACCUCGUACAAGAGGACGAAGGACCUGUCAACGGCGGGGGUAACUAUGACCCUCUUAAGGUAGCGUAGUACCUUGCCGCAUCAGUAGCGGCUUGCAUGAAUGGAUUAACCAGAGCUUCACUGUCCCAACGUUGGGCCCGGUGAACUGUACAUUCCAGUGCGGAGUCUGGAGACACCCAGGGGGAAGCGAAGACCCUAUGGAGCUUUACUGCAGGCUGUCGCUGAGACGUGGUCGCCGAUGUGCAGCAUAGGUAGGAG